rnacentral:pre_miRNA from 1 species
AUGGUACCUAUUGCAGCUGCUGGCCACUGCACAUGAUUAGAAUUCAACUCUUGUGCGUGUGACAGCGGCUAUUGUGGGCUAUUCAAAACAUCAUA